GACGAACGCUGGCGGCGUGCUUAACACAUGCAAGUCGAACGGAAAGGCCCUGCUUUUGUGGGGUGCUCGAGUGGCGAACGGGUGAGUAACACGUGAGUAACCUGCCAUUGACUUUGGGAUAACUUCAGGAAACUGGGGCUAAUACCGGAUAGGAGCUCCUGCUGCAUGGUGGGGGUUGGAAAGUUUCGGCGGUUGGGGAUGGACUCGCGGCUUAUCAGCUUGUUGGUGGGGUAGUGGCUUACCAAGGCUUUGCCGGGUAGCCGGCCUGAGAGGGUGACCGGCCACAUUGGGACUGAGCUACGGCCCAGACUCCUACGGGGGGCAGCAGUGGAGAAUUUUGCACAAUGGGCGGAAGCCUGAUGCAGCAACGCCGCGUGCGGGAUGACGGCCUUCGGUUUUUAAACCGCUUUCGCCUGUGACGAAGCGUGAGUGACGGUAAUGGGUAAAGAAGCACCGGCUGACUACGUG
rnacentral:rRNA from 1 species